rnacentral:misc_RNA from 1 species
UUUCGAAACAGUUAUUGAGAUUGCAACUUUUUUGGAAACUCGUGUGGCUACCGACGAAGUGCAACAAAUUAUUAAAAUGUGAGCAUCGUGUGAACUGCAGCUUUUCACUUCAUGCUGUUUAGUAGAUUUGAGGCCUGAACCUACCAUCGUAACAACAAGAUAUGCCAGUCUUGCAUGUGUUUGUCAUUGACCAGUCAUCAACAUCAAUCUCAGUAUCAUUGUCAGGGCCUAAUGAUUUUCGUUACUUUUAUUAAUCUGUGACCAGCUAGAUAUUUUAAUGAUGCAUGAUUUGCAUGAAUGCAGUAUGGUAUUACAUGUAAUCGUCAACUUCUUAUUUAUUAACAACUAUAGUUGACCCAGACAUUGUCUCAUUUUCAACUUUUCCUUAGUCUACUUGUUGUGUCAAUAUUUUUCGUAACCCAAUUUUUAUUUCUUAUUUAGAUAAGUAUCAUUCCUCUUGAUUGGAGAAACAACCGAUAUGUCGAUCGAGUUCUGGAUCUCUUCUUCCCCUUUCUUUAAAUGUCUUCCACCCAUGUGAGUGUGGGUGUAUUCACGAGGACCCCCUUUCCAAUCCUACCUGGCGACGGUGGAUUCAACUUUACUGUGGACUGGAUGGAGCACUUGUGAAUUUGUAUUUCCCAGGCUUAAAGGUUCUAGACGAGGCCAAACAGUCCGAAAGUUUUGUACCAUAACUUUGUAAUAAAACCAAUCAGCCGCUGUUACACUAAAAGAUGUCGCCGACCGUGCCGACGACGACCGACCCCCGUGAUGACGAAGAUAACGACGACGAUCCUAGCUGGAUUUUACUACGUCAGAUGGACGUUCUCCAUCGUCGUGUUGCCUUGUCGAAUUUCGAGCCGACGACAGGAGUCGACCAAUCAACAGGGCGGCAACAACAUCAGGAUCGACAAGUUCAUCUCGGCUGGAGCUGCAGCAACCUACAGCAGGAUCCUGUCGUCGAAGGGAUGGCGGCUGCUGCCUACGCCGGCCUCGUGACGGUCCUGGGCAACAAAGGAAAAGAGGCCGAGAGCGGAGAUUGUUGGUUAAUGAGCCAUCAGCAAAGCUCGUCAUCGGGGCCGAAAGGGACGACGGAUGACGGUGGUGGCGUUGGCAACCGAGACGAGGCGAUUAAGACGGCCGACUUUUGGAUCCAUCAGCUCCGUUCCGUUUUGCACGAAACGCGCUCCAAUCUCAAUCUCAUUGUCGCCUUUCAUCAACGUCAACUGCAACAACAACAGGCCAAACAACCAGCAACAACACCAGCCGCGGCGCAGCUGGAACCAUCAAGAGCGAUAAUCCGAUCCAGCCAGUCUGACGUGGCAGUUCAAACCGAACUGAUGAACAAUCAGGAGCAGGAGACGGGCCAAACUGCUGCCGCCGCCCAGACGAAAUCGAAUUAUUAUCGGAAAUCAGUUAGACGGGCAAGUGAUGAUCACGUAGCCGCCGGCUCUUUAAUCGGGCAACUGUCACCGCCGCUUCACAAUCCAGCGAAUGCGAAGGCAACCUCAUCCAGCAGGAGCAAAGUGUUGCCGGAAUCUUUGGAAGCCGGCGACGGCGGAUGUCAUUUCAUCCGGGCUGGCAACAGCUGUUGCGCAUUGUCCACCCACUCUUGCCGUUUCCAUUCAUGCAGCUGCUGUUGCCGGGCGACUAAUAGGCAAAUCUUAUCCAAACGGCCGUCGGAUUCGAGUCGAACCAAGAGAACAAGGAGCCGGAAGAGACUGGACCAAGAUGACAAAGAGUCGAAUCGUCACGACAGCACGGCGGCGAUUUUGCUAUUGAACGAGGCCUGGCAGCUGGCCGGAUUGCACACUCGCCAACGGAUGUCCAUUCUCAGUCGCCACUACCGAAUUCUUUACCAAAGGCAUCGGAGACUACGCCGGAAGCAUGGCCAAUUGCGCCGCAUCUUCCAGCGCACCCGCCGUCGCACACUUUACGUCCAGCUCCAACUCCAGAUUCUGUUGGAGUCGAUCGGAAGUCAAGUGGACGACGUGGCCUCUGACUGGGUUGACCGUUUGAAAGGAUUGGUGACGCUCCAGGCUGAUGGACUGAUGGGAGUACCACCUUCGUCCUCUUCUCCGGAUGUGUCUUAUUCGCCCCUCGCCAAGGAUUCGACCGGACGGCAGCAGCAGUUCAGAGCCAACGAUGAGAAUUAUUCCUUCAGUCUGUACCGAUGGUACUCGUCCUUGUCUCUCAAGCUGAGCUGGCUGCAAACGUCGCAUGGGACCGUCCUGGAAAAUCUGCUCCUGUGGAUCCCUCGCACGUGAUGUCGACGAUCUCGCACCUAUCAAUCUUUCAUCCGACCAAAGAGGCUUCUUAUUUAUUUAACAUUUUCGUCUGAGACGUGAGAACGUAGUUCUUGCAGACUAUCAAGUUAAAAAACGUUGCCAUUAUCGCCAUCCAUCCCAGCAACUGCUGCGUCGAAAGAGUUGAGCCAAAAAAAGAGAAAAACAAAAGGGGGUGCUGUGCUGAUUUAUUUAUUCUUUUGAUAAAUGUCUCGUUAGAAUCUUAUUGCACUCCCAUUUCCUUUCUUCUCCGGUAACAAACAUUUGAAUAUUCCGUCUAACGUGUGUCUCCUAGGAAUUCCCCUACUCCUUCGUGCUGAAAUUUCAUUUCAAAAGCUUCUGGCGCACGAUAUUAUUGGCGCCCAAUGUAAUUCAAAUUUGAACUUACACACAUCUAGUAACGUACAGAUUUACUACGUAUAUGUCUAUAGAGGAAUAUAAGACAUUGUUUAACCCAUUUCAACCGUCUCUUUUCUUUUAGACAAUUGGACCCGUGUAUACUGUGCAGCUCCAACAUUAUUGGCAUUCGGUGACCCUGGUAGUGUACAUAUACGUCUACAUAGUCUCUGUUGUUAUGACUCACGUGUCUUUGAGACGAGAAACGACACACGACGAAAGAUGGGAGAGAGAGCUUUGAGCUCUCUUUUGAAUAUUCCAUUAGAUUCUCUCCCGGCAACCUCGUCAUCUUUUCAACAAUUGGAUCCAGCGCGGCGGCAGCAGCACACUGUUCGAGCUCACGUGCGUUCCUCAUACUACAGCUGUCUUAUAUAACGAUAGAUCCUUGUGUCGUCAGGACACGUGAAGCUAUUUGACGUACCGAAAUCUCAUUUUAAAUUCUCGUGCCGCCGCAUCGUGACGAUAAUCUUAAAGUGAAAAAAGAAAAAUGGCGCUUGCUGAAAAAAGUAUUACAAAUUUUUUCACUCGACAUCUAGUCCCUGGUGAUCCCGCGGUCUAAAAAAGUACUUUUACACGCCCGCCCUGAUUACAUAAGCCGCCUGUAUGUGGUAUAGCUGCGGCAGUUGUUCCUCCAUCCGACUUGUAUACUUUAGGCCCCGCUCCCGAAAACAAAACACAUAUGUGAACUUGAAGUGCGUCUAGUGAGUAAUAAGUUAGGAGGAGCGAAUCCUUAUAUUGCCACUUUGGACUAGUAAAAACCUGUACCCAAAGUUAAAGUUUGCCUCCCCAUAAUAAUUAGUAUGUUUCGAGCAAAGUAUUUCGUCAGAAUCAUUUUAUUGCGAAAAAUGUCCAGGCGCCAGUUUGAUUGCAAAGUUCACGUGAAAGCUCCUUGAUGUGGAUACAUUUGGCAACAGCCCAUUCCAUCGAGGUAGAGAGAGAGAGCUAUUAUUA